GCACGCAAAAGCAAACCUCACUCCUCGCCAUCCAAAAGGAAACCUCACGCCUCCAAUCGCUCUCCCCCUCGCGAGAUCCCUCGCCCCGUGCGGCCGUGCCCCUCGCCCCCCUCGUGAGAUCCCUCGCCCCCGUGCGGUCGUGCCCCUCGCCGUGCGCUACCGCGCGCCUCUCCCCGUGGAUGUGCUGCCCCGUAGCGGUAGUGGCUGGUGGCCAGCAGUAACCAGCAGACGAGCAGAGCGGAUCGCGGACUGCAGCAGCCGGCUCCCUCGACUCGGCCCCUUGGCAGUUGACGGCGGUUGACUCUUGCCGGCGGCCAACAACCAAGCGUUGAAGGUAACCAGACACAAGUCUCCUCAAGAUCCAUACACCACGCAAAGAUUUUGUUUUCUCCUCGGAUUCACAGGGUGUUUAGUUGCCCUUCUAUUCCAGAAAAAAUUUAGAUUUAGCUCUAUUAUUUUGCAUAAUGGAACUAAACAUCAUGUAAAAAUUUUUACAAAAGGUGGUUAUUCUCUAUUUUAGAUUUUGAUCUCAAAAGGGCAAAAAAGCCAAAAGAGCCCCAAGGGUAAUAAAUUAUGCAUUUUGGAUGGAACUAAACAUAAUCGUGAAAAUUUUGGUAUUUCACAUUUUAUCGUUUCAAAGUAGUUGGCUUUUUGCAUUUUAUGGAGAACUAAACAACCCCUUAGACUAAAUCACAAUCUAAUUGAUGAAAUUUAUAGGGAAGCGCUAUGCAAAGUGCCUAUGUGCUUACUGCAAUUUAAACAAAUUUAUUUGUAUAUGCUACUGUGUGCUACUUUAUUUAGUGCCCUCAUAAAAAUUCUAUAAAUAAUUUCUUUUGACAUUUUGUUUCUAAAUUGCAAUGUACAUGGAAAAGACGUGUGCUAGCACUAGCAUAUUUUUAUUGUGGGAGAAAGCUAGCACUUAUAUAUUUGCAUUGAUUUUUUUUCUACAUGGAAUACCCUGCGGCGAAAUCCUGGCUCCGCCACUGCUUACCGACCGGAUGAGCCCCGUCACUGCCCCAAGCACUAGCAGACAUGCCUCCAUCGAUUGCAUCUCAAGCUCCGCCCCAUCCCAAACCGAUGCCACCCAGAUUGAGCUGCUGCUCUCGUGAAGCGGGAGCUAGAAGAGCUCGUGACGUGGAUCUAAAGUUUGUGAUGCCAGAGUUGCUUGUGGUUCGUUCCUGGCACCAAUGUUGAGGAAGAAAAUGAUCUAUCCAUGAACUAAUAGAGCUUUGCAUGUCGGUGAUCUUCUGGAAUUGGAGAGAUCUGUUUAUGUUCAUUGUGUGCAGUGUCACAUAGAUCCAGAGUCAUGAGCUGCUAAUGCUUGGAAUGAGUCCUUGAACCAUUCACAAAAUAUCCAUAUUUCCAUCCUGAAGCUGAAGCCAUCUAAAUAGGGUUCAACGCUACUUUACUCACUGCUCAGCAAAUUUGAAACCUUGCAGGCAAGUCUAAGAAAAAUCCCUAUUUUGAUUGAGAGGGAGCGGCUGGAUGAGCUUCUCAAUUUUGCAUCUUACGUUGUAUGCUCUGCAAAGUUUCCUCAAUCUUGCAGAACCUACAUGCUACCACUAAUGGGAGUAGGAGGCUAAGGGCAAUUCUGACAUUGGAGCAUCGACUGGAGCCAUUAAGCCGAGGGCGGGGGAAAAAAGGCAAAUGAUCAUUUUUUAUCGUCAGCCUAUUGAACUUCUUGACCAAUAACAAUUUAGACACCGUGUGUGGUUUUUCAUGAUUGAGGUAUUAAUGUAUGAUGAUGGGAACUCUUGGCGAUUUAUAGACGUCCAUAAUAUUUUGAAAUAGAGAGUUGUGUUUUAAAGAUAAAUUUGCGAUGUUUUCCCACAAACUAAAUGUUUGUAAUGAUACAACACAUGUAUACUUAAAGUGUCAUUGUCUUAUUAUUUUCCAUCGUAAAGUUAGUGAGCCUGCGACACAGCGCUCUCUCUGAUUAUGUUAA